CAGCAGCCGCCGCGGGAAUACGAAGGGUGCAAGCGUUACUCGGAAUUACUGGGCGUAAAGCGUGCGUAGGUGGUGGUUUAAGUCCGUUGUGAAAGCCCUGGGCUCAACCUGGGAAUUGCAGUGGAUACUGGGUCACUAGAGUGUGGUAGAGGAUAGUGGAAUUUCCGGUGUAGCAGUGAAAUGCGUAGAGAUCGGAAGGUACAUCUGUGGCGAAGGCGACUAUCUGGGCCAACACUGACGCUGAGGCACGAAAGCGUGGGGAGCAAACAGGAUUAGAUACCCCAGUAGUCCCUGUCUCUUAUAC
rnacentral:rRNA from 1 species